rnacentral:rRNA from 1 species
AUCCCCGGGCUUAACCUGGGAAUGGCGUUUGGGACUGCAAGGCUGGAGUAUGGCAGAGGGGGCUAGAAUUCCUGGUGUAGCAGUGAAAUGCGUAGAUAUCAGGAGGAGUACCGAUGGCGAAGGCAGGCCCCUGGGUUAAUACUGACGCUCAUGCACGAAAGCGUGGGGAGCAAACAGGAUUAGAUGCCCUGGUAGUCCACGCCCUAAACGAUGUCGACUGGUUGUUGGGGGUUUGACACUCUCAGUAACGAAGCUAACGCGUGAAGUCGACCGCCUGGGGAGUACGGCCGCAAGGUUAAAACUCAAAGGAAUUGACGGGGACCCGCACAAGCGGUGGAUUAUGUGGAUUAAUUCGAUGCAACGCGAAAAACCUUACCUACCCUUGACAUGUCCUGAAGCCUGGAGAGAUCCGGGUGUGCCCGAAAGGGAACGGGAACACAGGUGCUGCAUGGCUGUCGUCAGCUCGUGUCGUGAGAUGUUGGGUUAAGUCCCGCAACGAGCGCAACCCUUGUCAUUAGUUGCUACAUUCAGUUGGGCACUCUAAUGAGACUGCCGGUGACAAACCGGAGGAAGGUGGGGAUGACGUCAAGUCCUCAUGGCCCUUAUGGGUAGGGCUUCACACGUAAUACAAUGGCGCGUACAGAGGGUUGCCAAGCCGCGAGGUGGAGCCAAU